GAUGAACGCUGGCGGCGUGCCUAAUACAUGCAAGUCGAGCGCGACUGCUUGCACCGUCCUUCGGGACACCGUAAUCAUCGAGCGGCGGACGGGUGAGUAACACGUGGGCAACCUACCCUUAAGACUGGGAUAACCGCGGGAAACCGUGGCUAAUACCGGAUAAUACUUUUAUACAACGGUAUAGAAGUUGAAAGGUGGAUUUCUAUCACUUAAGGAUGGGCCUGCGGCGCAUUAGCUGGUUGGUAAGGUAACGGCUUACCAAGGCGACGAUGCGUAGCCGACCUGAGAGGGUGAUCGGCCACACUGGAACUGAGACACGGUCCAGACUCCUACGGGAGGCAGCAGUAGGGAAUCUUCCGCAAUGGGCGAAAGCCUGACGGAGCAACGCCGCGUGUGCGAAGAAGGUCUUCGGAUCGUAAAGCACUGUUGUUAAGGAAGAACGACAGUAAGAGUAACUGUUGACUGUGUGACGGUACUUAACCAGAAAGCCACGGCUAACUACGUG
rnacentral:rRNA from 1 species